UACAGAGGUGGCAAGCGUUGUUCGGAAUUACUGGGCGUAAAGGGCGCGUAGGCGGCAUGAAAAGUAGGGUGUGAAAGCCCUCGGCUCAACCGAGGAAUUGCGCUCUAAACUGUCGUGCUCGAGGAAUCUAGAGGUGAGCGGAACUGAUGGUGGAGCGGUGAAAUGCGUUGAUAUCAUCAGGAACACCGGAGGCGAAGGCGGCUCACUGGGGAUUUUCUGACGCUGAGGAACGAAAGCCAGGGGAGCGAACGGG
rnacentral:rRNA from 1 species